CUGCGCCGAUACGCCCUCGGCCUCCACCGUGUUGAUCUGCCCACAAGGCGGCUUGACGAGAUUGCGACUGGAACGAAGUUGUCCUGAGGGACGGGGAAGCGUUUACGUAUCAGCCAGAUCGAAAGACUCGACAGCGAGUCGCCCACCGGCAACCACGAGCCGAACGGCACUUGAUCCAGUCGAGAAGCACGGUCCGCGAACUGUUCGUCUCCCCCCCUCCUCGGCGUCAUUCUUCGCCACGGUCAUUCUCUCGCCAUGCAGCGGUGAGCCACCCGCAAGACAACCUUCACCAGCAGGUUUUGAGUGGGUCAGUCGGUGCUCAACCAAUACAUUUCUUGAAGGAUUGACCAUGUCCGCAUAUCAGAACGAGAUCAAGGCAGU
rnacentral:sRNA from 1 species